AAUUUAUAAAGAAGAGGCGAGAGACUAGGCUCUGAGACCCUCUGGCAACCUCCAAAAUGGUAAGGUGCCAAUUCCUAGCCCGGCAGCCGGGGCAUAUAAAUU
rnacentral:ncRNA from 1 species